rnacentral:lncRNA from 1 species
CGGCGGCGAAGAAGAAACCAGCGGCGAAGAAGAAGCCCGCGGUGAAGAAGACGACGGCGACGAAGAAGAAGGCGGCGCCGAAGAAGAAGCCGGCGGGUGCGUAUACGUGACGCGGCGGUGAUCGCGCGACGCGGGGGCGCGCGCGGCGCGGCGCGCUCGACGCGCGACGACGCGCGAAGAAGAAUUGUGCGCGAAUGCGAUCGCGCGCGAAAUUAAGGGAUUGCGCGCGCGCGCGAGACGCGCGAGCGAAGGGGGAGAAGAGGGACUGACGACGUGUGAUUUGAACGCGACAGCCAAGAAACCGGCGGCGAAGAAGAAGCCGGCGGCGAAGAAGAAGCCGGCGGCGAAGAAGAAGCCAGCGGGUGCGUGUAGAGGGGGGGCGGCGCGCGACGACGCGGAGGCGCGAAUCGCGCGCGCCAGCUCAUCUCGAAAUCGCCGCGCGCGAGGAAGAAGAGAGGACUGACGAGACGAUGAUUUUCGCGCGAUCGCAGCCAAGAAGAAGCCCGCGGCCAAGAAGAAGCCGGCGGCUAAGAAGAAGCCGGCGGCCAAGAAGAAGCCGGCGGCCAAGAAGGCCAAGGCCAAGGCUUCC